AUUGAACGCUGGCGGCAGGCCUAACACAUGCAAGUCGAACGGUAACAGGAAGACGCUUGCUUCUUUGCUGACGAGUGGCGGACGGGUGAGUAAUGUCUGGGAAACUGCCUGAUGGAGGGGGAUAACUACUGGAAACGGUAGCUAAUACCGCAUAACGUCGCAAGACCAAAGAGGGGGACCUUCGGGCCUCUUGCCAUCGGAUGUGCCCAGAUGGGAUUAGCUAGUAGGUGGGGUAACGGCUCACCUAGGCGACGAUCCCUAGCUGGUCUGAGAGGAUGACCAGACACACUGGAACUGAGACACGGUCCAGACUCCUACGGGAGGCAGCAGUGGGGAAUAUUGCACAAUGGGCGCAAGCCUGAUGCAGCCAUGCCGCGUGUAUGAAGGAGGCCUUCGGGUUGUAAAGUACUUUCAGCGGGGAGGAAGGGAGUAAAGUUAAUACCUGUGCUCAUUGACGUUACCCGCAGAAGAAGCACCGGCUAACUCCGUG
rnacentral:rRNA from 1 species